AUUGAACGCUGGCGGCAGGCUUAACACAUGCAAGUCGAGCGGUAACAGAGAGAAGCUUGCUUCUCUGCUGACGAGCGGCGGACGGGCGAGUAAUGCCUAGGAAUCUGCCUAGUAGUGAGGGAUAACUUGCCGAAAGGUAAGCUAAUACCGCAUACGUCCUACGGGAGAAAGGAGGGGACCUUCGGGCCUUCCGCUAUUAGAUGAGCCUAGGUCGGAUUAGUUAGUUGGUGAGGUAAUGGCUCACCAAGACCGCGAUCCGUAACUGGUCUGAGAGGAUGAUCAGUCACACUGGAACUGAGACACGGUCCAGACUCCUACGGGAGGCAGCAGUGGGGAAUAUUGGACAAUGGGGGGAACCCUGAUCCAGCCAUGCCGCGUGUGUGAAGAAGGUCUUAGGAUUGUAAAGCACUUUAAGUUGGGAGGAAGAGCAGUUAACUAAUAUUUGACUGUUUUGACGUUACCGACAGAAUAAGCACCGGCUAACUUCGUGCCAGCAGCCGCCGUAA
rnacentral:rRNA from 1 species